ensembl:lncRNA
CUGCGAAUUUUAAUCCCUACAUUUUUAAAUAUAUAUUUGUACUUUCUACUCUUUAACAUUUUCAACACAGUUACUUUUGCUUUAACGCAUUUGGGUGAAGUUAUUAUUUCCCCACUGUGAGCCUCUGAAAAGAAAAAGGGUUUUGAUCCUAAACAGUAACACAUGAAUGGCAGUCCUGUUUGUGUAUUGAUCACCAGAGGUUGUAAAAGUGAUGACGUGUGACGAGUGUUGGCUGUUCAGUUUUUGUUUUUGCCACAACACCAGGAGACUGUAGGUGUCUGUAAGUUGCGGUUUCAGUACUUUAACAUCUGGCUAUACUGAAGAGGAGCAAGCAUAAAGGGAGUGACUUUUUUGAAGUGUCAGGUAAUUUCGAAUUCAACGUUUCUAUCUGUUCAACAAACAUCAGCAAACACACAAACUAUUUGUAUGCAGUGUUUGGCACAGUGUGUUACUAGCUAAAGGUUCAGCUGCCCUGAGUGAAGGAAGAGAGCUAACUUCACUCAGAGAUGGAGAAAGAUAAGAAAGACAGGACAGGAGAGGAAGGAAAGAGGUCAGAUUUAAAGGUCGGGGUCAUCAUCAUCAUCAUCAUCAUCAUCUGUCACGGCUAUGUAUGCAGCAACAGUGGAAACAAUUAUACGGUUAAUCAUGAGUUUUAGACAUGGCAGGAUACAUGUUACAAAGACACAAAAUAAAAGUAAAAAUACAAAUAGGAAUAAAUAAGAAUACAAAGGAAUUGCAAGUAUUUCAAGUAUUGAAGUCUAUUGCACCGUUGGUUUUUAACAAAAAGUAUUGCACAGUGAAAAGGCAGUAGUAGUCUUUUAGCAGCUGUAGCCAGGAGCCAGUGUAAAGCCAAGAAAACCAGUCACAUGUAUUACUUACAUAGUCCUGAUUUUGGGCCUGCUGGAUCUGUUUCAAGGCGUUCAGGGCAUCAGUCAUGUUUGAUGAGUGUACAUUGUCUGGUGUGUGUGUAGAUGUGUAUGUUGGUGUGUUUAUCACUUUCCUGUUCUGGUGUUUUGGGUAAACCAUGGCCUGAAGCGUGCCCUGGGGUCCUGCCCUCCUCCUUUUCAGUCCGGUUGCGACCAUUGCUGCUGCUCAAAGUUCAGUCUGUCCUGGUCCUGGCCCCAAUUGGGGCAGGCCUUUCUCCAGUGUCCAUGCUCACCGCAGGUGAAACCUGCAUCUUCUUGUGCUUCUGUCCAUUCUGAGGUGCCUUUUGACCUCAGUUGCUCCUUCUGUCUCUGGCACGCCCCUUUUGCUGCCCGAUCAUCCGUGUUGGUCCGUCACUGUCCUGCACAGUGUUAAUGCAGAGUUAUCAAGGUCAGCAUUCUUUUGCUCGGCCUCACAAUAUUCGGGCUUGGCGGGCGUCUCGUCACAGCUCUGUCAGCUGAAGCCGUCUGGAAAUUUCCCCCGUGUAGUGAAACGGGCCUUGGAUUUAACGCUGUCCAUCUCUGCUGCAUGAGAUCGCUUUCCUGUAGCACUGUUGACAUUUUUAGAUUGUUGUUAUGGGUCCAGCUGCUGCAGCAUUUGGUCAGGGUCACGUCAAAGAUGGUAGAGGGGAGAGCAGGAGUCCAGGUCAGCCUCGGCUUUCAGGACCGGCAAAGCAGCCUGUAAUUAAACAUAAAAAGAAAAAACAAAAACAGACGAACAGGAAAAUGAUGUUUUGGCUGUGUUAUUCAGAGAGGGGAGAAACACUGGGCCAGGCCCUGUGUCAGCCUCCCCCCCCCACCACCAUAUAAUCAACUCAUAACCCACCAAGCUGACAGGACAACACAGGUAGAUAUUAAAAUUUGUAAGAUCACGUUUAAAAGCACAAAAAAGGAAUUUUCCUUCCUUCAGUAAUCACUUGUAUGAUUCAAUCAGCAGAAAACCUCUCACAAUUUGACGCUUAACCACUAAAUUUGUUGUUUCAUCACUGGUUGUCAUACCAGUCUCGUUCUUUUUGAAGUUGUUGUCCUGCAACCCAGAGUUUAUUUAGUAGUGGAUAAACUUCAGCAUUUGAUAACUAUUAAGUUUUCCCUGUUUUAACACUAAUGAGAGAUAUAGGCGCAUGUAUAGUGUGUGCUGUAGUGUAAGCUGUUCUUCAUUGCAUGUAUGUAUGUGUGUUAGUAGCUUGCAUGCAAGGCCUCUGGGACUGUCUCACCCAAAAGAGCAUUUUCUUAACAGUUGCCUUUCUCUCGCGUGUGUUAAGACAGACAAAUGUGCUUGUAGCAGUUGUGAGAUUAUUAUGCUGUUAUAUAUUACAUUAUACCUAUAAUCAAAAUGAGUGAAUCAUGAUACUGCUGUAGGCCACAUCAUACUUCUGAGUUAAAAGAAUGUGAAAAUCAUUAGAUUAGAUAGGUUUGUAUUAUCCUAUGCUGCUGAUUUAUUGUGAGUGAGUUACACUGUUUCAUGACAUUUCAUACUGCCGAGUUAUGAAGAGAAUAUUGUAUUCAGAGAGUAGGGGCCUUUUUUUUUUUUCUUCCCUCCUUGUGAUAGUAAAAAGAACAGAGCACAUGCCACGGGAGCGUUACCCCUACCUUUGGUGGAAGCAGAAAAACAGGGAGCCAAAGUCAUAACUCAGGCUCACUAAGAGUUAGAAAGAAUAUGAAUGCUUAGUUUGUGGCUGUGGCGCAUUUUGUAUGGCUUCUUUUCUUUGUUUAGUAGCUUUUUGCCUUCACCUGAGAGGGUGUGCCCUAAGCAUGUGACUUCAGGUCUCCAUAAUUGGAGUUUAUUUAAAGAUAAAUAAGAUGAUUUCAUUUAUUGCUCGCAGAUCAUGCACUAGACGGUAUAUUGCAGUAUUAGCCUGCUUCAACACUUAAGCAAAACAUCACUUUGUUUUAUUAUUAUUAUUAUUAUUAUAAAUUCUCCUUUCUCGAAAACAGAAAAUGAAAUUGUAGUCGUUCUUGGUUGAGAAACACAAAAUUAUCAUCAUCAAGGACGCAUGGUGAGAGCUACUUCAGAAGCUACAGUACUCAUCACUCAAGCAACAUUUCAAAAAACAAAAGAAACAAAAAAACAAAACUCAGCACACUACACAGAGAACAACAACAAGACAUAACUGAAGGUGUUAUUCUUGUUUGUUCUCCUGGAAAUUUAGAAUAAAGUUAUUACAUCUGCAUUAGUAAAUCAUAUGCCUAAUCAUUAUGUGCCACUGUGAUCCACAAGUAUGAUCACAGAUUUAUUCAUUUUUCAAACCAACAAAACAAAACCAAGUUACUGAUGGCUUGAACGCUUUACACACAUAAGUCAGGAUGCAAAAAGGCUACUGCCAAAAACAAAUCAGAAGUGUGAGGGGGGAAAAAACAAAACAAAAAACUGAGCCCACAGACAGCUUCAUGUUUGAGCUUUAAUAGCUGUUUCCCUCCCUCUGAUGUGUUCUUAUGCAGCUCCUGCUCUUAAAAAAAAAAAAAAAAAAAAAAAAAAAAAGUGUAACCUGCUCAUCAGCUUAGCAAUGACCAUAUAUUUAAUUCAGCUUCUCAAUUGUGUAGCUUUAGCUGUUGUAUACAGGGUUUUUAGUUGUUAGCAUAGGUUUGCUCUAGGGCCGUUUAUCAAUGCCCAAGUACACGAGUACGUACCCGCCGAGAACGCGAGCACGGACUCGCGAUAUGUACAAUUGGAACACCUGCGUACGUGAUGAUGUCACAGGUCCGGAGUUUUUACUGCCGUCCCCUCUUAAUUUAACUGUGAGUAACAUGUUAUGAAGCUUAACUGUAAUCACAGCCAAACCGGUUUACUCAGGAACAAAUAAAACACUGAAAUAAACCAAACAUUAACAUUUAGAAGUGAUCUAAGUGACUUAUAUAUCAUUUUUAACCUCAGUAGUGAAACCUCUAAUAAAAAUAGUGUACAUGUACAUACGUGUACAUACCUUAAUAAAAACAAGCAGGUGAGAUGUUAGAACGCUUUUAUUUCUAUUCUAGUGGACACUCAAUACUAUAGACAGCUGCUGGAGUUUCUUUAACCUGAGUAGUGAGAAGUCCGCGCGGGGGUACGGUGGCCCUGAAGUGCAAACCACAAAAACAAAUCACAAAACGCACAACAAAUUGAAAAGCGCAACAACAAAUUGAAAAGCGCAAAAACAAAUUGAAAAGCGCAAAAACAAAUUCACUAAACGCAAAAACAAAUUGAAAAGCGCAAAAACAAAUUCACUAAACGCACAACAAAUUGAAAAGCGCAAAAACAAAUUGAAAAGCGCAAAAACAAAUUGAAAAGCGCAAAAACAAAUUCACUAAACGCAAAAACAAAUUGAAAAGCGCAAAAACAAAUUCACUAAACGCAAAAACAAAUUGAAAAGCGCAAAAACAAAUCACAAACCGCACAACAAAUUGAAAAGCGCAAAAACAAAUUGAAAAGCGCAAAAACAAAUUCACUAAACGCAAAAACAAAUUGAAAAGCGCAUAAACAAAUUCACUAAACGCAAAAACAAAUUGAAAAACGCAAAACAAAUUGAAAAGCGCAACAACAAAUUGAAAAGCGCAAAAACAAAUUGAAAAGCGCAAAAACAAAUUCACUAAACGCAAAAACAAAUUGAAAAGCGCAACAACAAAUUCACUAAACGCAAAAACAAAUUGAAAAGCGCAAAACAAAUUGAAAAGCGCAAAAACAAAUUCACUAAACGCAAAAACAAAUUGAAAAGCGCAAAAACAAAUUCACUAAACGCAAAAACAAAUUGAAAAACGCAAAACAAAUUGAAAAGCGCAACAACAAAUUGAAAAGCGCAAAAACAAAUUGAAAAGCGCAAAAACAAAUUCACUAAACGCAAAAACAAAUUGAAAAGCGCAACAACAAAUUCACUAAACGCAAAAACAAAUUGAAAAGCGCAAAACAAAUUGAAAAGCGCAAAAACAAAUUGAAAAGCGCAACAACAAAUUGAAAAGCGCAAAAACAAAUUGAGAAGCACAAUUACAUUAAGAAAACCGGAAAGGGUAGGUACCAGUCGGCAACAGGAGACAUCACUGAUUGGAUGUCCGCGCUGUUCGUCUUUGGAACCGGAAGUUACUCUGCCUGUAGCGCAUUUCGUUUGAAGAAGAACGGCGGAAUGUUUUGUCCUAGCUAUGGGAAAAAGCUGGUUGAGGAGUCACCAAACUUUUGCAGCGGCUGUGGCGAGAGGCUUUAUCACGCAUCUUGCAUCGGAGACACUUCACUCCCAUUGAAUAAAUGUCGGCUUGAUGACCAUUAAAAAGGGUGGUUUGAAGCCAUACCGUGGAAAAACUAUUUUCCUAACAACAGACCCUGACGCUACUGCCACAAGUCUGCUCAAUCAAGCUGUUAAAAAAAUGAAGGACUUUAACAAAGAUCUAAAAGAUGGACCUUUCCUUCUUCUGUAUCCGGAUGGCACUGAGGUCAUUACUGUCCCUGGAACACAAAGACCAUUUACACUUGAGGCUUAUAAGGCUGAAGUUGGCAAGCCUUAUCAAAGAAUCACUGUUUUCAUCUGCUUGAAGAGUGACUUUGAAGAUGUUGGAGAAAACUCAGACUUGUCUGACUCUGACCCAGAGAUUGUUAUUAAAAGGCCCUCUGAGUUUGAUCUUGCUGAUACACUGCCAUGGGAACUUCAACAUGAAAGCAGUCCUUUACAGAAAGCGGCAGAAUAUGAGAAGGGUGCUGGGGAUCUUGUGCUUGCUAAUGAAGUACAACAGAGACACCAAUUUGCAGGCACAUGGAAUUAUUGCAAAUUUGGCACUGGAACUUGACCACAAGAAGGUCAGCAGGUUCAAUAUAUCAAGGUCAGCUGUAUGGGAUGGAGCUGUUAGAGGAUUUCGACGCAGCACAUACUCUGACAACUACGACAUGUUCAUCAAGUUUAAUGAUGAUGCUGGCAGCUUUGAAGAAGGUUUGGAUACAGGUGGCCCGAGGCGUAAAUUCCUCACACUUCUUAUGGGCAGU